UACCCGGAACAUCUGACAAGGCCAUGUUUGUGUUGUGAUCAAGUCCUUUUGCUCGUUUCGUCGAAGCUUCGUACGACCUAAACUCCGCAAAGCACAAAGACACGUCUACUUCAGAGAAGAAUUGAUACAAGCCGUGAAUUCGUUCAAUCGUUUUAGUCAAGUUUUUUAACAAAAAUCGUUGAAAUUAUGUUUUUGUCUUUAACGCAAAAUUGGCCUUUUACAGGUUUUCUCUCUUCGGGCAGGUGAAAAAAAUUGUAUCGCUUAGCUUUGUCUUUCCUAUGUUUGACAUUUUAUACUGUUGAGUGUAAGUUGACUUGGUAUAGGGAAGUCAUAUUUUUUUGCAUUACUACAAUUUGUGACUCUUGUCGAGGCCUGCUACGGCAUUGUUGUGUAGUUGCUUCUAAUUGUUCUUUAACAUCCUGAAGCCAAACCACUGGGAUAUUUCACGGUGAGGCCAGCGUUACCUAAAUGGGUUCUCGUACUUUGCCAUCCAGUUCUACGGUGAGUGUUGGAGUGGACCUGAUGAGAAAGUAAAGUACGAUCUGGACGGCGAAACUCCCCAAAGGAAAUGCUGGUCCGGCGUGGGAGGUAUCCAUGCCAUCAUCGCAUACAAAUUCGAAUAAAUGGGAUACAAACUACUUGGGCUACAAAAGGCGGAUAAACUUGUAAUCGGGGAAUCAAGAGCAAGAGUGUCAAAACUCAAUGAUAGAAGACUAUGUUCUUUAUUAAAGUUUUGACGUUUAUGAACAGCAAAA